CGAAUUACAGCGGCUUUCGAGGAGAGCGGGAAGGACUGAUUUGAAGCGGGAGAUAUGGAGUGCAGCAGGUUUGAGAGUGCAAAAUAAAAAAAAAUGGACAAAAACAUGGCGAAGAAAGGUUUUACAAGAGAGGAGGCGAUUGAUUUAAUGUUUGAUGACACCUGAGAAGAGGCUGAGCAUGACUCUUCGUUCCCGGAGUCUGUGUAUUCAGACGUUGAGGAGGCGUAUGCUGCUGGCAUUGAUCCAGACAUGGAUUGUGUGACUUCUCCAGUUACCUACGAAGAAGCUAAUGGGCCAUCCACAUCGAACACAACACCACCUCAGAGGGGCCGGGGUCGUUGUCGCAGGCAUAGCCGUGGGAGCAUUCAUGGCUGUGAGGAAUCGCGUAGUCUCUUACCAGUAUCACAUGAUGGAAGAUGGAACACAGAGGCAGAUCCUAAUAUAGUGCCCAAUAUUCCAAGGUUUACUCCUAAAAGAAUACCCUGAGUGCAGCCUUGACUCAAAUUUGGAAAAAAGUCUCCACUUGAUAUUUUCAGUCAAUAUUUUGACGAAGAGGUCAUAAACAUCUUGUGUGCAAAUACAAACAAGAAUGCGGUGAGAAAGCUGGAGGAGGAGGUUCUGGUGGAGGAGCAGACAGAGACCACAGGGGGAGGAGCCAGGGAGGAGACAGGAGGAGUCCAGCAGGACCCAGGUCACAGCCAUAACAGCGGCCCACGGUGGAGCCGACGGAGCAGGUGAUGGAGGAGGAGUGGCAGGCGACUGAGCAGGUGAUGGAGGAGCCUGAGGCACAGGGCCGAAGAGCCAGGGUGACGGGGAGGAUCCGGAGGUCCUAGGUGGAGCCGAUGGCGCCGGAGACCAAUGCACAGAUGUGGACCCAGGAGGCCACGGUGGAGCCGGAGCGACAGAUGACUGAGGUGGAGCCGAGGGGAUAAAGGAGCCAGACAGGGACGGAGGGACGAGGCAAAGCCAUAGGAGUGGAGUCCCGAGGCCUAGGAUGGUCGAUACCAGACCAAGGUGGAGCCAGAGGAACAAGGGAGCCAGGCGGAGCUUGUGGACUGAUGGGCCACGAUGGAGAGGAGGGAGCUAGGAGCCAUGGUGGAGCCGACGGGUCAUCGGGUUGAGGCAUAGUCCAGGCCUCAGAGGCUGGAGGCAGAGUCAAGGGUGACUCCAGGAGACAGGUGACUCUGUGGUGAUGAGAUAUUAGCUGUUUAUAUGUGAUGAAAUAAGCCUCAUGAGCUGGCCUGAUUUUGUUCAAAAUGACUUUCUUCCAUUUAUGUUUAACUUUUGCACUAAGAGCUCUGUGAAACUACAGUUAAGUGUGUUGUUCUAAUAGAUAUAGUGAAUGAAUUAAAAAAAAAAACAGUAUACGAAUCUCAACAAUGUUGACAAUCAACAAAAAUGCUUCAUGAUGCAAUGCAUGCUGGGUAACACCAUAGUAAAAACUCCCAUCAUGCACUGCAGUAUGAAAAAUUAUUGUCACCACUGUUGAGGAUCAUAUGAUAAGUGUUCAUGUCUAAAAGCCUGAGCUGAUACAGUUUUUUUUAUUUUUGUUCAAUAUUGACACAUUAAGAUGGCAUUUAUUUAAUAGGCUUUUUUUGCAGUUCUACAGUACUUGAAUGUCAGUUAACAAACCAAAGAGAGAGACCACUUUAUGAUGUUUACUUAUCAUGUGUUAUUAGCAGAAAUCACAAGUUACUCUGCUACUUCAAGCUUUUGAAUCAGCAAUGCACAAAUGUUUGCUGUGAAACAAUAUUGCAAUUGCUUAGAAACAAACUACUUCGACCCUUUUAAUAAUUCAAGAGACUAAUUAAAGCAAACCUUAUGGUGGCAUCUUGUGUAUGUUUAAAAAAAAAAAAUUAGAUUUCAUCCAAGGCUGUGGCUGAAGUCAGCUGUAGUUCUUGUGUUUCACUUUUCUUUACUGAUGUUGAUUGUUAACAGCAGAUGUUCAUCACUAAUGUGCAAUCAUCAUUUAAUUAAUCACUUAAUUAUAUCAUUAACUUUAACUCUUUGAGGACUUGGGAUUUAAUUUGAGACUUGUUUGUGACUCGAAAGGAAUGACUUGGUUCUCCUCUGGUUAAAACAGCUUGCUGAGUUCGUGGGUGGAAUAAACAUAUGGCAGGACUUUUACUUUCUGACCCCUGGACUUUAUACCUCUGCCAACCGCUGGGUCAAAACAACCCAACCGUUGGGUUGGUCCCUUUUUAACCCAGCACUUAGAGUGUAUAGGCCUG
rnacentral:lncRNA from 12 species